rnacentral:tRNA from 1 species
UCCGAGGUAGCUCAGCCGGUAGAGCAAGUGACUGUUAAUCACUGGGUCGCGGGUUCGAGUCCCGCCCUCGGAG